rnacentral:rRNA from 1 species
AUUGAACGCUGGCGGCAGGCCUAACACAUGCAAGUCGAGCGGCAGCGGAAAGUAGCUUGCUACUUUGCCGGCGAGCGGCGGACGGGUGAGUAAUGUCUGGGAAACUGCCUGAUGGAGGGGGAUAACUACUGGAAACGGUAGCUAAUACCGCAUGACCUCGAAAGAGCAAAGUGGGGGAUCUUCGGACCUCACGCCAUCGGAUGUGCCCAGAUGGGAUUAGCUAGUAGGUGAGGUAAUGGCUCACCUAGGCGACGAUCCCUAGCUGGUCUGAGAGGAUGACCAGCCACACUGGAACUGAGACACGGUCCAGACUCCUACGGGAGGCAGCAGUGGGGAAUAUUGCACAAUGGGCGCAAGCCUGAUGCAGCCAUGCCGCGUGUGUGAAGAAGGCCUUAGGGUUGUAAAGCACUUUCAGCGAGGAGGAAGGCAUCAUACUUAAUACGUGUGGUGAUUGACGUUACUCGCAGAAGAAGCACCGGCUAACUCCGUGCCAGCAGCCGCGGUAAUACGGAGGGUGCAAGCGUUAAUCGGAAUUACUGGGCGUAAAGCGCACGCAGGCGGUUUGUUAAGUCAGAUGUGAACUCCCCGCGCUUAACGUGGGAACUGCAUUUGAAACUGGCAAGCUAGAGUCUUGUAGAGGGGGGUAGAAUUCCAGGUGUAGCGGUGAAAUGCGUAGAGAUCUGGAGGAAUACCGGUGGCGAAGGCGGCCCCCUGGACAAAGACUGACGCUCAGGUGCGAAAGCGUGGGGAGCAAACAGG